GGAGGGUUGGCAGAGUCCGGUAAUGCACCAGUCCCGAAAACUGGCAAAUGUCGGUGAACCCGGCAUACGGGGGUUCAAAUCCCUCACCCUCCUCCA
rnacentral:tRNA from 1 species